CGGAUGCAAGGCGCUCACAGUCAGCCUACUGAUUUUCUGUCCUCGCACCGCGUACGAGUCAUCUCCGACGGUUGGAGCUGCUCCAGCUUCCAUUCUUCUGGAAACAGGGUCUCAGGAAUGUCUCAUAAAGUGACAGCUUCCUGUGAGAGAAAGGGUGAAAUAAUUUCUUACAAAGGAGAAAUCUGCAAGACCAGG